UACGUAGGGUGCGAGCGUUGUCCGGAAUUACUGGGCGUAAAGAGUUCGUAGGCGGUUUGUCGCGUCGUUCGUGAAAACUUGGGGCUUAACUCCAAGCGUGCGGGCGAUACGGGCAGACUUGAGUACUACAGGGGAGACUGGAAUUCCUGGUGUAGCGGUGAAAUGCGCAGAUAUCAGGAGGAACACCGGUGGCGAAGGCGGGUCUCGUGGGCCGAUGACUGACGCUGAGGAGCGAAAGCGUGGGGAGCGAACAGG
rnacentral:rRNA from 1 species